UACGAAGGGGGCUAGCGUUGCUCGGAAUUACUGGGCGUAAAGCGCACGUAGGCGGAUAUUUAAGUCAGGGGUGAAAUCCCAGAGCUCAACUCUGGAACUGCCUUUGAUACUGGGUAUCUGGAGUAUGGAAGAGGUGAGUGGAAUUCCGAGUGUAGAGGUGAAAUUCGUAGAUAUUCGGAGGAACACCAGUGGCGAAGGCGGCUCACUGGUCCAUUACUGACGCUGAGGUGCGAAAGCGUGGGGAGCAAACAGG
rnacentral:rRNA from 1 species